rnacentral:lncRNA from 1 species
CCCCCCGGCCCCCCCCCCCCCCCCCCCCCCCCCGGGCCCCCCGGCGGGGCGAGCGAAGCCCCCCCCCAAAUUGGGGGGCCCCCCCCCCCCCCCCCCCACAAAACCAAAGCCGGGCCGGCCCCCCCCCCCGCGCCCCCCAGACUGUUACGGACCUCGUGCCUUGAGACCCCCGCCCGCACCGAGCGACCCCCGCCCCGCCGGGGGACCCCCGGUGUCCCCUCCCCCCCACACCGGGGGACGCUGGCUCGAGCUGCUGCUGCCACCGCCGGGAUGUCCCCAAGAUGUCACCUCUGGGAUGUCCCCGGGAUGUCUCCGGGAUGUCCCCAAGGUGUCCCCGGGAUGUCUCCAGAAGGUUCCCAAGGUGUCCCCAAGAUGUCCCCGGGAUGCCCCCAGGUUGUCACCUGGGUGUCCCCAAGAUGCCACCACCGCGCUGCCCCCGGGAUGUCCCCGCGCUGCCACCG